rnacentral:rRNA from 1 species
GACGAACCGUGCGAACGUUGUUCGGAAUCACUGGGCAUAAAGGGCGCGUAGGCGGCUUAUCAAGUCAGGGGUGAAAUCCGGCAGCUCAACUGUCGAAGUGCCUUUGAUACUGAUGAGCUCGAGGGAGGUAGGGGUAUGCGGAACUUCCGGUGGAGCGGUGAAAUGCGUUGAUAUCGGAAGGAACGCCGGUGGCGAAAGCGGCGUACUGGACCUCUUCUGACGCUGAGGCGCGAAAGCUAGGGGAGCAAACAGG